UACGUAGGUGGCAAGCGUUGUCCGGAAUUAUUGGGCGUAAAGCGCACGUAGGCGGCAUUGCAAGUCGGAUGUGAAAUCCCUCGGCUUAACCAAGGAAGUGCAUCCGAAACUGCAGUGCUUGAGUACUUAAGAGGAUCGCGGAAUUCCCGGUGUAGAGGUGAAAUUCGUAGAUAUCGGGAGGAACACCAGUGGCGAAGGCGGCGAUCUGGGAAGAUACUGACGCUGAGGUGCGAAAGCGUGGGGAGCAAACAUG
rnacentral:rRNA from 1 species